rnacentral:rRNA from 1 species
GACGAACGCUGGCGGCGUGCUUAACACAUGCAAGUCGAACGGAAAGGCCCUGCUUUUGUGGGGUGCUCGAGUGGCGAACGGGUGAGUAACACGUGAGUAACCUGCCCUUGACUUUGGGAUAACUUCAGGAAACUGGGGCUAAUACCGGAUAGGAGCUCCUGCUGCAUGGUGGGGGUUGGAAAGUUUCGGCGGUUGGGGAUGGACUCGCGGCUUAUCAGCUUGUUGGUGGGGUAGUGGCUUACCAAGGCUUUGACGGGUAGCCGGCCUGAGAGGGUGACCGGCCACAUUGGGACUGAGAUACGGCCCAGACUCCUACGGGAGGCAGCAGUGGGGAGUAUUGCACAAUGGGCGGAAGCCUGAUGCAGCAACGCCGGGUGCGGGAUGACGGCCUUCGGGUUGUAAACCGCUUUCGCCUGUGACGAAGCGUGAGUGACGGUAAUGGGUAAAGAAGCACCGGCUAACUACGUG